rnacentral:lncRNA from 1 species
CUUUGGGGAGGGGGUGGGAGAGACGACAGGUCUGGGAUCAGGGAGUCUUCAAGGCCCCCGCUGAGGGGACAGCGAAUCUACCAUUGAACCGUGCACGGGGGACAUGGACAAAAUGAGACGCGACAGGGACAAGAGCAUUUUGCUCUGCUUCCAGGAAACAUCAAGUUGCUUGUCUGGAGAUGGAGCCACUACAGGCGGGCCUGGGCGCCUGGAGUCGGGCAUGAAAGAAAAUAGCGCCUCAUCGCUCUUAUCUAAGCCCAGAGGUCCAGGGGACAACCUGAGGGCCCUGAAGUGUUUCAAUACCAUGUACCAGCUUGACUUCUCUACAUGUCCUUUGGAUUGCCCAAAAGCAAAAUCUCAGAGGGGCCAAGGACCUUCUAGGGCUGGCUCCCUCAGGGCCUCCUAUAGAGCAGCUCCUUGAGUCGGGCCUUAUAGCCACCAGAAAGUCACCUCGCCGCAGGAAAGCUAUAAAGAGCUGCUCCAGAGGCGCCGAAAGAGGGUGAGGGCUGCAGCCACAGUGUUUGUCCCCAGCACCACCAGGCCCCUUAACCUCGUCAGCUCCUCUAGCCCUCGGCCAGACUCUGGCAACACCUUGGUUUGCCUGGCACCGCAGGCAAUUUCCUGGAACCCCACCCCCACCCAGGAACGGGGACCACAGCACCUUUAAAGGAACUGCCAGAGCUUCCUCCUACGGCUUGAAAGCCCAAGCUAAUCAGUAACCCGUGAGA